ACGCCUGAGGAGCGUUGCGACGGGGGGCCAUGGCGCCCGACAUACCCGCCAGGCUCAGGCCUCUGUUUGGCUGUCGCGCAUCGCGUGGCGGCAUGCAACGGCGCUCACCUUUG
rnacentral:ncRNA from 2 species